GUCUCGUUGGUGUAGUUGGUUAUCACGUGGGUCUCAUAGCCUCAUUACUAUGACUGCUCUCAGCAGCAGAUAUCCCAAGGCCGCCAGUUCGAGUCUGGCACGGGACA